rnacentral:ncRNA from 1 species
GUACACUCAUGCGCUGAUUUGACCUUGGCUUGCGGGCGCAUUACAAAUUCCGCUAAAAGAAGGGUUUCAAUAAAGA